UACAGAGGGUGCAAGCGUUAAUCGGAAUUACUGGGCGUAAAGCGUGCGUAGACGGUAGCGUAAGUCGGGUGUGAAAGCCCCGGGCUCAACCUGGGAAUGGCAUUCGAGACUGCUCUGCUAGGGUGCGGAAGAGGGGAGCGGAAUUUCCGGUGUAGCGGUGAAAUGCGUAGAUAUCUGGAGGAGCACCGGUGGCGAAGGCGGCAUCCUGGACCAACACUGACGCUGAGGAGCGAAAGCCAGGGGAGCAAACGGG
rnacentral:rRNA from 1 species